rnacentral:rRNA from 1 species
AACGAACGCUGGCGGCAGGCCUAACACAUGCAAGUCGAGCGCCCCAGCGAUGGGGAGCGGCGGACGGGUGAGUAACGCGUGGGAACGUACCCUUUGCUACGGAAUAGCCUCGGGAAACUGGGAGUAAUACCGUAUGUGCCCUUCGGGGAAAGAUUUAUCGGCAAAGGAUCGGCCCGCGUUGGAUUAGGUAGUUGGUGGGGUAAUGGCCUACCAAGCCGACGAUCCAUAGCUGGUUUGAGAGGAUGAUCAGCCACACUGGGACUGAGACACGGCCCAGACUCCUACGGGAGGCAGCAGUGGGGAAUCUUAGACAAUGGGCGCAAGCCUGAUCUAGCCAUGCCGCGUGAGCGAUGAAGGCCUUAGGGUUGUAAAGCUCUUUCAGGGGGGAAGGAUAAUGACUGUACCCCCAGAAGAAGCCCCGGCUAACUCCGUG